UACGGGGGGGGCAAGCGUUGUUCGGAAUUACUGGGCGUAAAGGGCGCGUAGGCGGCCUGUUAAGUCGAACGUGAAAUCCCCGGGCUCAACCCGGGAACUGCGUCCGAUACUGGCAGGCUUGAAUUCGGGAGAGGGAUGCGGAAUUCCAGGUGUAGCGGUGAAAUGCGUAGAUAUCGGGAGGAACACCAGUGGCGAAGGCGACUACCUGGCCUGUUUCUUGACGCUGAGGCGCGAAAGCUAGGGGAGCAAACGGG
rnacentral:rRNA from 1 species